rnacentral:rRNA from 1 species
UUAAGAGAAUAAGGGUGUACGGAGGAUGCCUAGGUAGCAAGAGCCGAAGAAGGACGUGGUAAGCUGCGAUAAGCUAAGACAAGUUGCAAACGAACGUUAUAGUCUUAGAUUUCCGAAUGGGAAAACCUACUUGCUUGAAGAGCAAGUGCUGAGGCGGGAACCGGAUGAACUGAAACAUCUAAGUAAUCCGAGGAAGAGAAAGUAAAAACGAUUCCCUAAGUAGCGGCGAGCGAACGGGGAAGAGCCCAAACCAUUGCAGUGUCAAGGAUGUAGCCGUUGCUGUAAUGGGGUAGAGGGAUAACAGUCAGGAGAACUACAAGGUAUCCGACGUUAGUCAUGUAAGGUAGCAGAAUGGCAUGGGAAGGCCAAUCGUAGAAGGUGAGAAUCCUGUAUGCGGUGCUUCAUGACGCGUUAUUGUUAAUCCCAAGUAGCACCGAACACGAGGAAUUUGGUGUGAAUCAGCGUGGACCAUAUCACGUAAGGCUAAAUACUCUUGCUGACCGAUAGCGCAUAGUACCGUGAGGGAAAGGUGAAAAGAACCCCGGGAGGGGAGUGAAAUAGAAUCUGAAACCGUACACUUACAAGCGGUCAGAGCCCUUUAUAUGGGUGAUGGCGUGCCUUUUGGAGAAUGAUCCUGCGAGUUACGAUCAAUGGCAAGGUUAAGUAAACCGGAGCCGUAGGGAAACCGAGUCUGAAUAGGGCGUUAAGUCGUUGGUCGUAGACGCGAAACCGGGUGAUCUAUACCUGUCCAGGCUGAAGCUGGGGUAAGACCUAGUGGAGGGCCGAACUCACCGCCGUUGAAAAGUUGGGAGAUGAGGUAGGUAUAGGGGUGAAACGCCAAUCGAACCCGGAGAUAGCUCGUUCUCUCCGAAAUGCAUUUAGGUGCAGCCUUGUUUGUUUAUCUGCGGGGGUAGAGCACUGAAUAGUCUAGGGGGCGUACCGCUUACCAAAACUAAUCAACCUCCGAAUACCGUAGAUCCAGAAAACAGGAGUGAGACCAUGGGUAAUAAGAUCCUUGGUCGAGAGGGAAACAGCCCAGACCACCAGCUAAGGUCCCAAAUUAUAUCUAAGUGGGAAAGGAGGUGGAGAUUCACAGACAACCAGGAUGUUGGCUUAGAAGCAGCCAUACAUUUAAAGAGUGCGUAAUAGCUCACUGGUCGAGAGUCUCUGCGCCGACAAUGUAACGGGGCUAAGAUAUAAACCGAAGCUGUGGAAUGUACCGUAUGGUAUAUUGGUAGGAGAGCGUUGUGUAGGCCGGUGAAGGUGUACCGAAAGGAGCACUGGAGGUAUCACAAGUGAGAAUGCAGGAAUGAGUAGCGAAAAAGAGGGUGAGAAUCCCUCUCGCCGGAAGUCCAAGGUUUCCAGGGCAAUGCUUGUCAUCCCUGGGGAAGUCGGGACCUAAGUUGAGGCUUAUAAGCGUAGGCGAAUGGAAAGUAGGUUAAUAUUCCUACACCAGUUAUGUAUUGUGAUGGAGGGACGCAGAAGGGUAGAUACGCUGGGCGACGGUUGUCCCAGUGCAAGCAUGUAGGGUGGCCAGAUAGGAAAAUCCGUUUGGCUAUAUCUGAGGUGUGAUGCGGAGCACGUAAGUGCAGAAGGUAUUGAUCCCACGCUGCCAAGAAAAGCUUCUAACGUUAAGACAUAACUGCCCGUACUGUAAACCGACACAGGUGGACAGCGUGAGAAACGUAAGGCGGACAGGCUAACUCUCGCUAAGGAACUCUGCAAAAUGGCCCCGUAACUUCGGGAGAAGGGGUGCCUUUGAUGGUGAUGGUUCACGCAACCUGAGCUGUCGGAGGCCGCAGUGAAAAGACUCAAGCGACUGUUUAACAAAAACACAGGUCUAUGCUAAGCUGAAAGGCGAUGUAUAUGGGCUGACACCUGCCCAGUGCCGGAAGGUUAAGAGGAGGAGUGAGAGCUCCGAAUUGAAGCCCCGGUGAACGGCGGCCGUAACUAUAACGGUCCUAAGGUAGCGAAAUUCCUUGUCGGGUAAGUUCCGACCUGCACGAAUGGUGUAACGAUUUGAGUGCUGUCUUGGCGGGAGGCCUGGUGAAGUUGUAUUAUGGGUGAAGAUACCCAUUACCUGCAGCAGGACGGAAAGACCCCAUGGAGCUUUACUGUAGCUUGGUAUUGGGUCUUGAUGCUGUGUGUAUAGGAUAGUUGGGAGACUUUGAUUGUAGGCCGCUAGGUUUACAUGAGUCGUUGGUGGAAUACCAACCACGCAGUAUUGGGAUUCUAAUCUGGUGUGUGUAACACCGGAGACAGUGCUAGGUGGGCAGUUUGACUGGGGCGGUCGCCUCCGAAAGAGUAACGGAGGCGCUCAAAGGUUCCCUCAGGUUGGAUGGAAAUCAACCGCAGAGUGCAAAGGCAUAAGGGAGCUUGACUGCGAGACUGACAGGUCGAGCAGGUGCGAAAGCAGGACUUAGUGAUCCGGCGAUUCCGAAUGGAAGGGUCGUCGCUCAACGGAUAAAAGCUACCCUGGGGAUAACAGGCUGAUCCUACCCGAGAGUCCAUAUCGACGGUAGGGUUUGGCACCUCGAUGUCGGCUCAUCUUAUCCUGGGGCUGGAGAAGGUCCCAAGGGUUGGGCUGUUCGCCCAUUAAAAAGGUACGUGAGCUGGGUUCAGAACGUCGUGAGACAGUUCGGUCCCUAUCCGCUGCAGGCGCUAGAGUAUUGCGGAGAUCUGCCCUUAGUACGAGAGGACCGGGGUGGACAAACCUCUGAUGUAUCAGUUGUCACGCCAGUGGCAUAGCUGGGUAGUCACGUUUGGAAUGGAUAACCGCUGAAAGCAUCUAAGUGGGAAACCAACUUCAAGAUAAAUACUCUGUAACUUUAAGUUAAUAAGUCACCUUCGAGACUAGGAGGUUGAUAGGCUGGGGGUGUAAGGGACGUAAGUUCUUUAGCUGACCAGUACUAAUUAGACGAAUGCUUAUCCUA